UACAGAGGGGGGCAAGCGUUAUUCGGAAUUAUUGGGCGUAAAGGGCGCGUAGGCGGCUUGGCAAGUGGAUGGUGAAAUCCCUCGGCUUAACCGAGGAACUGCCGUCCAAACUGCUUAGCUUGAGACCGGGAGAGGUGAGUGGAAUUCCCAGUGUAGCGGUGAAAUGCGUAGAUAUUGGGAGGAACACCAGUGGCGAAGGCGGCUCACUGGACCGGUACUGACGCUGAGGCGCGAAAGCGUGGGGAGCAAACGGG
rnacentral:rRNA from 1 species